CCUACGGGGGGCAGCAGUGGGGAAUUUUGGACAAUGGGGGCAACCCUGAUCCAGCCAUGCCGCGUGCGGGAAGAAGGCCUUCGGGUUGUAAACCGCUUUUGUCAGGGAAGAAAUCCUUUGGGUUAAUACCUCGGAGGGAUGACGGUACCUGAAGAAUAAGCACCGGCUAACUACGUGCCAGCAGCCGCGGUAAUACGUAGGGUGCGAGCGUUAAUCGGAAUUACUGGGCGUAAAGCGUGCGCAGGCGGUUUUGUAAGAUCGAUGUGAAAUCCCCGGGCUCAACCUGGGAACUGCAUUGGUGACUGCAAGGCUGGAGUGCGGCAGAGGGGGAUGGAAUUCCGCGUGUAGCAGUGAAAUGCGUAGAUAUGCGGAGGAACACCGAUGGCGAAGGCAAUCCCCUGGGCCUGCACUGACGCUCAUGCACGAAAGCGUGGGGAGCAAACAGGAUUAGAUACCCUGGUAGUC
rnacentral:rRNA from 1 species